UUUUCUCAAUGGGGGCAACCCUGAUGGAGCGACGCCGCGUGGGGGAUGAAGGGCUUCGGCUCGUAAACUCCUGUCACCGAGGAACAAGGCAUCCGAAUUAAUAAAUCGGAUGCUUGACGGUACUCGGAGAGGAAGGGGCGGCUAACUCUGUGCCAGCAGCCGCGGUGAUACAGAGGCCGCAAGCGUUGUUCGGAUUUACUGGGCGUAAAGNGUGUGUAGGGGGUCGUGUAAGUUUGAUGUGAAAUCCCGUUGGCUCAACCANGGAACUGCNUCGAAUACUGCUCGGCCUGGAGUUUCGGUAGAUGGGGGCGGAAUUCUCGGUGUAGCGGUGAAAUGCGUAGAUA
rnacentral:rRNA from 1 species